AUAGGACUCUGCUAGGCUAUUUCUUCAUCAUCAUCUGGGACUGCCGCACAGAGGAUUCAGCGCGAUAAACCACCCAGGCACUGUUAUAACAAUACCUGUUUCCAGUGCGAACUGCCCGAGUUGUCAGAAAAGACCGAGAUCUUCUGGUUACAUUAAAGAGAACCUUGGCUCUGGAUGAGAAUUUUAUAACAUUUAGCGGAGUAUCUCACAUAUAAUCUGCUGCAGUCUUCAUGCUAGUGAUAUUCUUUAUGAGCUCCUCACUUCUUACACCUUCCUACACAUCUUGUGACAGGCCGUCUAGACCCAUCCCAUUAUUUUCCUGCCAAAAAUAAAAAUGGACUUUAAAAAAA